UACGAAGGGUGCAAGCGUUAAUCGGAAUUACUGGGCGUAAAGGGUGCGUAGGCGGUUGUUUAAGUCUGUCGUGAAAUCCCCGGGCUCAACCUGGGAAUGGCGAUGGAUACUGGCGAGCUAGAGUGUGUCAGAGGAUGGUGGAAUUCCCGGUGUAGUGGUGGAAUGCGUAGAUAUCAGGAAGAACACCCGUGGCUAAGGCGGCUCUCUAGUACGGUACUGACGCUGAGACGCGAAAGCGUGAGGAGCGAACAGG
rnacentral:rRNA from 1 species